rnacentral:rRNA from 1 species
GACGAACGCUGGCGGCGUGCUUAACACAUGCAAGUCGAGCGAGGUCCAACUGGUGGCAACACCAGGGAAGGCCUAGCGGCGAACGGGUGAGUAACACGUGAGCAACCUGCCCCGAAGACUGGGAUAACACCGGGAAACCGGUGCUAAUACCGGAUACCCCCACGAGAUCGCAUGGUUUUGUGAGGAAAUGAAUUUCGCUUCGGGAGGGGCUCGCGGGCUAUCAGCUUGUUGGUGGGGUAACGGCUCACCAAGGCGA